CACAGUGGCAUCUGGGAUUA
rnacentral:miRNA from 1 species